rnacentral:rRNA from 1 species
CAAGUCGAGCGAACGGACGAGAAGCUUGCUUCUCUGAUGUUAGCGGCGGACGGGUGAGUAACACGUGGAUAACCUACCUAUAAGACUGGGAUAACUUCGGGAAACCGGAGCUAAUACCGGAUAAUAUUUUGAACCGCAUGGUUCAAAAGUGAAAGACGGUCUUGCUGUCACUUAUAGAUGGAUCCGCGCUGCAUUAGCUAGUUGGUAAGGUAACGGCUUACCAAGGCAACGAUGCAUAGCCGACCUGAGAGGGUGAUCGGCCACACUGGAACUGAGACACGGUCCAGACUCCUACGGGAGGCAGCAGUAGGGAAUCUUCCGCAAUGGGCGAAAGCCUGACGGAGCAACGCCGCGUGAGUGAUGAAGGUCUUCGGAUCGUAAAACUCUGUUAUUAGGGAAGAACAUAUGUGUAAGUAACUGUGCACAUCUUGACGGUACCUAAUCAGAAAGCCACGGCUAACUACGUGCCAGCAGCCGCGGUAAUACGUAGGUGGCAAGCGUUAUCCGGAAUUAUUGGGCGUAAAGCGCGCGUAGGCGGUUUUUUAAGUCUGAUGUGAAAGCCCACGGCUCAACCGUGGAGGGUCAUUGGAAACUGGAAAACUUGAGUGCAGAAGAGGAAAGUGGAAUUCCAUGUGUAGCGGUGAAAUGCGCAGAGAUAUGGAGGAACACCAGUGGCGAAGGCGACUUUCUGGUCUGUAACUGACGCUGAUGUGCGAAAGCGUGGGGAUCAAACAGGAUUAGAUACCCUGGUAGUCCACGCCGUAAACGAUGAGUGCUAAGUGUUAGGGGGUUUCCGCCCCUUAGUGCUGCAGCUAACGCAUUAAGCACUCCGCCUGGGGAGUACGACCGCAAGGUUGAAACUCAAAGGAAUUGACGGGGACCCGCACAAGCGGUGGAGCAUGUGGUUUAAUUCGAAGCAACGCGAAGAACCUUACCAAAUCUUGACAUCCUUUGACAACUCUAGAGAUAGAGCCUUCCCCUUCGGGGGACAAAGUGACAGGUGGUGCAUGGUUGUCGUCAGCUCGUGUCGUGAGAUGUUGGGUUAAGUCCCGCAACGAGCGCAACCCUUAAGCUUAGUUGCCAUCAUUAAGUUGGGCACUCUAAGUUGACUGCCGGUGACAAACCGGAGGAAGGUGGGGAUGACGUCAAAUCAUCAUGCCCCUUAUGAUUUGGGCUACACACGUGCUACAAUGGACAAUACAAAGGGCAGCGAAACCGCGAGGUCAAGCAAAUCCCAUAAAGUUGUUCUCAGUUCGGAUUGUAGUCUGCAACUCGACUACAUGAAGCUGGAAUCGCUAGUAAUCGUAGAUCAGCAUGCUACGGUGAAUACGUUCCCGGGUCUUGUACACACCGCCCGUCACACCACGAGAGUUUGUAACACCCGAAGCCGGUGGAGUAACCUUUUAGGAGCUAGCCGUCGAAGGUGGGACAAAUGAUUGGGGUGAAGUCGUAACAAGGUAGCCGUAUCGGAAGGUGCGGCUGGAUCACCUCCUUU